GUAUUUAUUUACUUUAAUAAAAGAUAUAUAUUUAAUUUUUAAUUGUUUUAAAUUUUUUUAAUCUUUUUAUUAUUAUUAUAUUCUCCACAGGAAUAAUUUGAAGACCGCUCCAUCUAGCUCCCUCCACAGCCAGACACAGCAACGAUCCUCCAGCUCCAUUCAGGCCGUGAAGGUGGACAGCUUUCUCUGAGCUGCUUUGGCCGUUUGCUGUUUGCUCAGCCUCCUGUUCCUCUCAAGGAUUUUCCCCCCGAGCCUGCACAUCACAAUUUUUUUUAUUGCUAUUGUCUCCAAUAGAAUUGCAUGCUCAGGGUGUGAGCUGAAGAGGCUUUUGAACACCCCCAGACUGCCCAGAGCCCUCUCCAUUUUUUUGGUGAUCUGGGUGAGAGUUAGUUAGUUAGUUAGUUAUAUAUGCUCCUUAUAACGGCUAGCCGUUGGGAGUUGCUGGACCGGCCCAAUUGUCGAUCCAGCAGCUGUCGAAGACAGCACGACAUCAGUCAACCCUGACAUCAGUCAGGGUUAGGUACCUUGUCAAGGACACCUCGACACUCAGCUAGGAAAAGCCGGGGAUCGAACCAGCAGCCUUCAGGUUACCAGCCAACCCGCUCUACCUCCUGAGCUACUGCCGGGCCGUAGAGAGAUACCAGAAAGCGUCGAUGUUCCAUCCAAAUUCCCCUUCCAAAAGCUGGAUGGCAGCGAAAAACCCUUCCAAAGGCCUCAUUAGGUUUGCCGUUGCCGUGUAUUUUUUUGCCUCCAGGAAGGGGUGGUCCUCACUUGUGGCAUAGCUGUGGUCCUGCUCUGGCACCCAACAGCAGCACCUCACAGUGUGGACAGGCCUGAACAAUUUCCUCCUUUUGAAGGACCCGGACAAGCCAGCCAGCAACGUAGAACAGGCCCUCCUCCUGGAUGCAAUCGCCAACAGUCUACAAAAGGUGAGGGACAUCAAAAAUCACAGGAACCCUCUGAACCCCCACCAGGAUACAGUGGGACUCCUCACCUCCCAGAGGGUCCAGGCUAGCCCCAAGGUUCCGCACAGCCUUCACAUUAGGGCUUCCCUGCUCACAUAUUGCUAUAAUAAUAAUAAUAAUACAUUUAAUUUAGAGGCGCCUUUCAAGACACCCAAGGUCACCUUACAGAGCAUCUAGUCAUCAUUCAAAACUAUGUAAAACAGACUGGGAAUAAAAGGAAAACAGAGGUUAAACAUGAAGAAUAAUAAUAAUUAAUAACACUCAAAGACGCCUAAAGUGAAGGGGGGACCUCACUAACCACCACCAAUAUGUAGCACCCACUUGGGUGGUGCACGGCAGCCAAUCGGUGCCAGAACGCUCACUACACACCAGCUUGAGGUGGAGAGUUAGGGAUGAGGUGGAGAGUGAGGGAAAAGAACAUUUAACACUAUCGAUCACAUUUAAACAAUAUCGACCACAUGUAAACACUAUCGACCACAUUUAAACACUAUGGACCACAUGUAAACCCUAUCGACCACAUAUAAACACUAUCGCCCCAGUAGCGACGCUACUGCCUGCACCUUUGAAAUUGGUUAAUACAUUGUUGUCAAUACAAGGUUGGAGUUAAUGUUCAUUUGUUCAGUGUUAAUGCUGCUAUUUAAAAAAUAAAUAAUAAUAAAACUC
ensembl:lncRNA